GUAGUGUUACGGACUGUCCUCAGCGCACAAUUUAUUUAUGUGUUGCGCCUCAGACGCGAAUUCCGCCCAUUAUUGAAAACAAGUUGCUAAAAGUAAACACAUCCGGUUUUGUUACGAGCACUUUCCACUCCGAGCCAAAAGGGCAUUGCAUUGAAUUGAGACUAAAGAAGGCUUGAAAACAUGACCCCAGUUUUGUUGUAUGGUCCAGUAGCUCUUUGACUCUCAACCUGAAGUUAAUCAGAACUCAAACUCGGCCCUUAACAAUAUCCACGAGGCCAGCAUAUCAGCUCAGCUUCUGAGCUUCAGCAAACACUAUAAGCCGCCAAGAUAAAAACAUCGUUGAAGUGAAAGUCAAAGACAAUCCUGACCCCUUCGCUUAAGUAAUUCAGCACAAAAACGUCUUGCGUCAGAGUAGCAAGCCUCCAAACAUCUUCUCCCAUGUUGGCUUCAUCAACACUUCUUACAGCGGAGCCUUGACGAGUUCGACUUCCAUCCCAGCAUCGAUGUUGCUUAGCAACAAUUCAAUGCUGGGAAUUGACAAAUUGUUCUAGACGAGUUGCUUACACAGAAACAAUCUGAUUCAACAGAUAGAGCAGGUGUUGCGUGACUUGUCCCUUAUUGCGACUGACCUCGAUAAGUUGCUCUCGAAUAAUGUUAACCUUUUGCCAGUAUGGGAUUGACGCCAUUUAACAACAGUUGUUGUUGAGAAUUCCCGGGUUUGAGGUGGCAACUUUGGCGUCGGGACUCGCUCCAUCUCUGUCUAUGGCCCAGUCAAAGCAGCAGCAGCAGCAGCAGCAAUAAGAACAACAAGUAGUAUCUGAGCGGUGCUCUGGGAUACGGGGCUUCAUAGCCUGUUCCUCCUGGUCCAGGACCUUUGGACAAAUGUUCAAAUAGUACUACCCACAGGAUGAAGCCACUCUGAAUCCGGGGCUCCAUACUUUCUUGGCCAGGGGCCAAGACUACCUCGUCAAUAAGCAGAGCACCAGCAUUGAUAUCGAGUUGGCCCAGCAACCGCACCAGUCCCGCCUGCAGGAGCCCCAGUCCAGAACGACCCUUCCCCUCCCUUGACUUCUAGCUCCUCUCCCUUGACCGCCUGCCUCAAAAAGUCAGCAUCGUUGAACAACUCCGUUCUGCAGCAAAUUCUGAGCAUGAUUCUGUUCUGAACAAACGCAAUGCCCACGUCACGUUUUCCAAACAUAAGCCUGGGUAGUUUUGUUAAGCUAGAGUUCCACGUGGGCCUGAAAGGGACGAGUGUUACAGACACAAACAGUUAUAGCAGUAGUUAUGGUAACGCUAACAGUCAGUUGUUGCUGUUGGACAUCACAACAAAUAUCAUGAAGAAUAAAAAUUUCAAUAAGUUGUUCCAAUCUUUAUGGGACAAACAGAAAUUGAACGGAAGAAAAUCAAGGAACAAUAAAAGCGUAAGCUUUCCUAGUGGGAUACAUCUGCUGUUGAUAGUUUGGACAACAGUAGGGUUGCGGACUGCCCCAGAUUGUCCUCUCAGCGGCCAAAAUAUCAUAAUAGAACGGACUUUUGGCAAUGUUACUGACACAGAAAGGCAAUAAUGACUUGGUUGUCAAUACCCAGAGCACGAUACAUCCAUGCUGACAAAGAAAGGCAGUAAUGACUUGGUUGUGAACACCCAGAGCGCCAUACAUCCAUGCUGACACAGUAAGGCAGUAAUGACUUGGUUGUGAACACCCAGAGCACAAUACAUCCAUGCUGACACAGAAAGGCAGUAAUGACUUGGUUGUGAACACCCAGAGCACAAUACAUCCAUGCUGACACAGAAAGGCAGUAUGACUUGGCUGUGAACACAAUACACCCAUGCUGACACAGAAAGGCAGUAAUGACUUGGUUGUGAACACCCAGAGCAAGAUAUUUCCAUGCUGACACAGAAAGGCAGUAAUGACUAUGCUGUGAACACCUUGAGCAAGAUAUAUCCUUGCUAACACAGAAAGGCAGUAAUGACUAUGCUGUGAACACCCGGAGCAUAAUACAUCCAUGCUGACACAAAGUUAGUAAUGACUAUGCUGUAUACACCCGGAACACAAUACAUCCAUGCUGACACAGAAAGGCAGUAAUGACUUGGUUGUGAACACCCAGAGCACAAUACAUCCAUGCUGACAAAGAAAGGCAGUAAUGACUUGGCUAUGAACACAUAACACGAUACACCCAUGCUGACACAGAAAGGCAGUAAUGACUUGGCUGUGAACACAGAGCACAAUACAUCCAUGCUGAAACAGAAAGGCAGUCAUGACUAUGCUGUGAACACCCAGAGCACGAUAUAUCCACGCAAACGCAGAAAGGCAGUAAUGACAAUGCUGUGAACACCCAGAGCAAGAUAUAUCCAUGCUGACACAGAAAGGCAGUAAUGGCUAUGCUGUGAACACCCAGAGCAAGAUAUAUGGAUGCUGACACAGAAAGGCAGUAAUAACUAUGCUGUGAACACUCAGAGCACAAUACAUUCAUGGUGACACAGAAAGGCAGUAAUGACUUGGUUGUGAACACCCAGAGCAAGAUAUAUCCAUGCUGACACAAAAAGGCAGUAAUGACUUGGCUGUGAACACAGAACACGAUGCACCCAUGCUGACACAGAAAGGCAGAUAUGACUUGGCUGUGAACACAGAGCACAAUACAUCCAUGCUGACACAGAAAGGCAGUUAUGACUUGGUUGUGAACACAGAGCACAAUACAUCCUUGUUGACAUAGAAAGGUAGUAAUGACUUUGCUGUGAACUCAGAGCACGAUACAUCCAUGCUGACACAGAAAGGCAGUAAUGACUUGGAUGUAAAUACCCAGAGCACAAUACAUCCAUGCUGACACAGAAAGGCAGUAAUGACUUUGCUGAGAACUCAGAGCACGAUACAUCCAUGCUGAGACAGAAAGGCAGUAAUGACUUGGAUGUAAACACCCAGAGCACAAUACAUCCAUGCUGACACAGACAGGCAGUAAUGACUUUGUUGUAAACACUAAGAGAUCCAUACAUCCAUGGGGUGUGCAACAGACGCAAAUUACGCCCACUAUUGUGAACAAGGUGCUUAAAGUGAACACGUCUGGUUUUGUUAUGAGCACUUAGCACUCCGAGUCCAAAAGGCCUCACAUUGAAUUGAUGCAAGAGAAGGCUUUGAAAAAUAACAGCAGUUUUGUUGUGUGGUCCAGUACGCCCUUCGACUCUCAACCUGAAGAAAUCAAAACUCAAACUCGUCUCUUAGCAAUAUCAGCAAGGCCAGCAUGUCAUCUCAGCUUCUUGAACUUCAGCAAACAUGACAAACGUCAUUGAAGUGAAAGUCGAUGACAACCCCCUUCUUGCACAAAUACUACAAUUGCUUAAGAAAUUCAGCACGAAGACGUCUUGCGUCAGACUACCAAGCCUCCUAGCAAUAUCUUCUCCCAUGUUGGCUACAUCAACACUUACAACAGCAGAGCCUUGGUGAGUUCGACUUCCGUCUCGGCAUCAAUGUCGCUUAGCAACAAUUGGAUGAUGGGCGUCGACAAAUUAGGCCGGACAAGUCGCUCAAACUGAAAUGAUCUGAUCCAACAGGUAGAGCAGGCGUUGCGUGACACGUCCGUUAAUGUAACUGACCUCGAUAUGUUGUUCUCGAAUAAUGUGAACCUUAGGCCUGGAGAGCAGUAUGCGAUUGACGCCAUUCAACAACAGUUGUUCUUGGCAAUUCUCAGGUUUGGGGUGGCGACUUCAGCGUCAGGACUUGCUCCAUCUCUGUCUAUGGCCCAGUCGUAGCAGCAGCAGCAACAAGAACAAUAAGUAGUAUCUUAGCGGUGUUCUGGGAUAUGCGGCUUCAUGUAUGUGCUUAAAUUGUCAUCCCAGAUUAGCCUGUGCAGACUGCACCUACAUUAAGUCCUAUUAAAUUGUCAUCCCAGAUUAGCCUGUGCAGACUGCACAUACAUUAAGUUCUAUUACAUUAUCAUCCCAGAUUAGCCUGUGCAGACUGCACCUACAUUAAGUCCUAUUAAAUUGUCAUCCCAGAUUAGCCUGUGCAGACUGCACAUACAUUAAGUUCUAUUAAAUUGUCAUCCCAGAUUAGCCUGUGCAGACUGCACAUACAUUUAGUCCUAUUAAAUUGUUAUCCCAGAUUAGCCUGUGUAGACUGCACAUACAUUAAGUCCUAUUAAAGUGUCAUCCCAGAUUAGCCUGUGCAGACUGCACAUACAUUUAGUCCUAUUAAAUUGUUAUCCCAGAUUAGCCUGUGUAGACUGCACAUACAUUAAGUCCUAUUAAAGUGUCAUCCCAGAUUAGCCUGUGCAGACUGCAUGUACAUAAAGUCCUAUUAAAGUGUCAUCUCAGAUUAGCCUGUGCAGACUGCACAUACAUUAAGUCCUAUUAAAGUGUCAUCCCAGAUUAGCCUGUGCAGACUGCACAUACAUUAAGUCCUAUUAAAGUGUCAUCCCAGAUUAGCCUGUGCAGACUGCACAUACAUUUAGUCCUAUUAAAUUGUUAUCCCAGAUUAGCCUGUGUAGACUGCACAUACAUUAAGUCCUAUUAAAGUGUCAUCCCAGAUUAGCCUGUGCAGACUGCACGUACAUAAAGUCCUAUUAAAGUGUCAUCUCAGAUUAGCCUGUGCAGACUGCACAUACAUUAAGUCCUAUUAAAGUGUCAUCCCAGAUUAGCCUGUGCAGACUACACAUACAUUAAGUCCUAUUAAAGUGUCAUCCCAGAUUAGCCUGUGCAGACUGCACAUACAUUUAGUCCUAUUAAAUUGUUAUCCCAGAUUAGCCUGUGUAGACUGCACAUACAUUAAGUCCUAUUAAAGUGUCAUCCCAGAUUAGCCUGUGCAGACUGCACAUACAUUAAGUCCUAUUAAAGUGUCAUCCCAGAUUAGCCUGUGCAGACUGCACAUACAUUAAGUUCUAUUAAAGUGUCAUCCCAGAUUAGCAUGUGCAGACUGCACAUACAUUAAGUUCUAUUAAAGUGUCAUCCCAGAUUAGCCUGUGCAGACUGCACAUACAUUAAGCCCUACUUUCCCAGAAUGAGACUCGUAUACUUCACUUAACAUCAGUAUUUUAUGUGCCUGAAAAGUUCCUAGCAUCAAGUGGGAAUUAUGUGCUUUUAGAUUGAUCACACUUAAAAUGCAAAUAGCACUUGAUCUGAUAUCAAUUUUAAUCAUAGAAGGUCAGGAGUGGCAUUCCAGAAGCAUCUUAAGUUAAAUUUUAUUUUUACCCUUAAAUUGGGAAUUUUUCUUCAGUGUUUUAUUUCAUACUGCAAUAGUUAGGCAUCGAAAAUUACAUCAAAAUAACAUCAUUAUGUCAAUGUUAUUUGAGAGUUACCAAAAAAACUUGCAUGUCUUUAUUGAGUAAAGAAAUACAAAACAUUGUAUUUUUUAACUUAAGUGAAAAUAUUUAAGAAAUGACUUAAGAUGUUUCUGGAAUACCACCCAUGGGCAUUAAGUUUUGUAUAUUUUCGACCGAAAUCCAGCCCCUGAACCAAAAGUUUAUCCUUGCAGAAAAAUCUGCUUUAAUAAAAUUGUAAAAAAUAUAUUUAAUUUUAGAAAAAUAAUUAUGUAAAAGCCUUCAGCUCAUUUCAAUUUUUUUUUUCUUCAUUUAUUUUCAAUAAUUAUUUAAAUUUCUGGAUUUUGUUUUAAAAGCCUGUUCCUACAGGAACCCAUGCAAUCAUAGAUCGGUACCUAGCUGAACAACAGGCUGUCUGGUCAGCUGGGCCCAGGGCCCAGUGACACUUCCUGGCCCAGGACCUUGGGGCCAAUGCUCAACUAGUCCUACCCGCAAGGUGGAGCCACACUGAACCUGGGGCUCCAUACUUUCUUGGCCAGUGGCCAAGAUAGCCUCGUCAAUUAGGGACACAUUCCUGGGAUGCCCUAAGGUCUUUCUAUCUGUUCACAGAAGUCUUAUACUCACAAGUUCAAGCCCAGAAGCGAUGUCCACAUUAUCAAACUCUGCAUCUCAAUAGAAACCCGGAUAGCAAGGCGUUGAGUUUGUUCUUGAAGCAUUUGCACCUUAAGCAGUCAUCAUCUUGAUAUUCUGGAAUCUCCAUGGUGAAGGACCCUCAGUCUGUGAACAAAAUGCAGAGCGAACCUCAGAUGCCUUUUGACGAAAUCAAAUCAUCCAGUCAGAAACACAGACUGUUGUUGCAGCAGUUGUGACCAUAUUGACCCCAGUCAAACCUAAGAAGCUCAGAGAUAAAUUCUGAUUUAGUUCUGCUAGUCUCUACAUACCGCCUGGUUUGGUCAGCACUUACUCUGACUCUUUGAAUAUUAUGACGGAUGGAAAUGAAUGACCUUGUUCAGAUCGAAAUGGCAGAAUGUCACAUCACAAGAAUUCAAGCGGAAAGCCAGAAAGUCAUGUCAAUAGCCACAUUUUUUAUGGCACCAGCCAAGUUGUAUUCAAAGACAAACAAUAGUUUAUGCUCUAUUGUGUAUGUGACCAGCCAAGUUGUAUUCAAAGAAAAACAAUAGUUGACGUUUUAUUUUCUAUGUGACCAACCAAUUUGUUUGUAUAGGUCCCUGGUUUAACAAAGCAUUUAAAGUAAUUUUAAAAGCACACAUAUUGCAUGUCUAUUCAAUGUCUUUGCCUGUAUUAUGAAACUUUCACUACAGAUAUUGAUCCUGAUGAUGGUAAAUAAAUGGGAAAUACACUGUUAUCAAAGAUUUUUUAAGAUUGCCAAAGCUGUUUAAAUGAUGCUGGUAACUGGAAAAAAAAAAUAUUGGAAUAUUUUCAUGUUAUAAGACGAGUUUCAGUUGUCUGUUUUUAACCCGUUAAUAUAGAUAAGCUAAUUUAAAAUAUUUGUUCAGAAAGGUGUAAAAUGUUUACGCUUCAGAUUUUUGUCUAUCAACCUUCUGAAAACAAUACUAGUCAAUUGGCUCAUUUGGGUCGGUAUUCGAUCAUGAAUCUUUUUUAGUAGCAUACUAUGUAUUUCAUGGGAAUAUAAAUAAAUUAUGUGCAAAAUUAUUUAAUCUACCUAAAAUAAUCGAUUCUGUAUUUACUACUAGUACUUUGUUGAUUUCAGUGGAUAUUGUUUGUUAAAUGAUUAGAGUAUGACUCUUGUUGAAAAGCUUUAAAUGAAACUGAAUUAAAAAAUAAAUAUUUAAUUUGUUUUAGAGUUUUAUGAAAAAUGGCAAAAGAUUGUUAAGUUGUGUUCUUUUAUCAUAUACUUACAUGGUCAUAAGUGUUAAAAUUUGUUUUCAGACAUAAUAGUUUAUUAUGCUUUAUAUUUGUAUAUGUACAUAACGACGACCAGAUUGUAUCCUCUUUAAUCAGUGAGUAAUUUAAUCAAGAUUUCUUGAUCACUGUAUCAAGUGUAUAUGUAUAUUUUGUCAUAUAUACAUAUAGCAACUGUAAAACAAUUGUAUUUUAAAUGUAAUGUAUUCAUAUAUUGUUGCCAUUUUUAUAAGAUAAACUCACUGUAAACAUUAAUUUGUACAAACCAUUGUUAUAAAAAACAUUUCUUGUGUCAAUGCUAAAAUAUGUAUUAAACUGUUAAAAUAAUGUACAGUAACAACUUCUGAGGAGAAAAAUAUACUUAAAGCAAUAGAAACACAUUGUUAUAUGAAAUGCUUUUUAUUAAGAACACCUACUUAAAAUUUGUUUAAUUUUGUUUUAGAUUAUCUGAAGAAAAAAUAGUACCAUGUAAUUUGAAAUCAGUCAAUGACAAAUUAAGGGAGUGUUGCCAUAUGGUAACAAUAGUCAAGAAAUGAAAUUGUCUCUAUUAGAAAUACAACAGAGCAAUACAAUAUGCCUAAACAAGAGCACCGCAUAAAGGGUGCCACGCUCGGCUACGGGUGCAGUUUUGAAUAAAUGAAAGCUUGUCUGAAUUUAUUUUAGAGGUUACAGUGACUUGACCAUUGACCUAGUGACCCCAAAACGGGUGUGGUGUGUAGAACUCAUCAAGGUGCAUCUACAUAUGAAGUUUGAAAGUAGUAGUUGGAAGCACUUUGAUUUUAGAGCCAAUGUUAAGAUUUUAGCACGACGCGGACGGCGGACGACACGACAAUCUGUAUGACAAUACCUCGAGUUUUCUCAGAAAAUACCGAGCUAAAAAUAAAAACUUAAGAUGUUUGCUUUGCAAUUUUUUUUAAAUAUACACUUAUGAAUGUGCUUAUAUUAAACGUAAACAGUAUUGACAUAUUGCUUACGAUGAAGUUUGACAUUUUAUUAGUUUUGUAACAGUGUGUUUCACCUUUCACAUUGACAAUCCCACAUUUGCUUUCAGUGGGGCCAGUUUCUGUAACUCUUCCACUACAUGUUCAGCAAAUGUUUUAUGACCAGAUUUCCUCAUAUUUGGGAAUGUUUAUAUUUAACUUUUAUUGAAUGCAUGAAACAUGUUUGUUCUGUUUUUUAAUAGCUGAAAAUAGCUUGAUGUUUGUUAAUUGUGUGCCAUGUUGAUCAAUUGAUACAUAAAAAAAACACAUUUUGCGUUAAUUUGUAUGUGUAGCUAAACAACAAAUGUUACCAAAUACAAAUUUAAUUAUUUGGUAACAAUAUAAUUAUUGUGCUAUAUUCGUAAUACCGUAUGAAAUGCAAUAUUAAUUAAAAUGUGUUUAUAUGUUUGUCUACGUCAAAUAAUCAUUUGAAUAAGUAAAUAUAGGGUAAUGAUGUCUAUGGAAAGUACCCGUAGGCACGUUUCAAUUGCUUGUGUACCUCAUAUGGAUCAGGGUCUGUCUAAAUUAUUGCAUGAUUGUUUAUGCCAAUGUCUGAAUUGUGUAAAUAUCUUUAAAAUCGUGAGAUAUUUGUUAAGAGGAUUUUAAUAUUAAAAGAUAUAAUAGCAUCUAAACUUUAACCGGUCAUCUUUUGCAUUUAUUUUUAUGUGUUUAUAUUGUUUUGCUUACCAAGUUUAAUAUUGUCUAUAUUCGUGCGUAAUUUUAUUGUGGUUGUUUUGUUAAGACAGAGCGCAUAUCACUAAUGCUGUUGUUUUAUGUUAUAUGUAAAUAAUUAAACAUGUUUAUUUU